GGAGGGGUGGCCGAGUGGCUUAAGGCGCACGCUUGGAAAGCGUGUUGAGGGUAACACUUCACCGGGGUUCGAAUCCCCGUCCCUCCGCCA
rnacentral:tRNA from 2 species